GAUGAACGCUGGCGGCGUGCCUAAUACAUGCAAGUCGAGCGAACAGACGAGGAGCUUGCUCCUCUGACGUUAGCGGCGGACGGGUGAGUAACACGUGGAUAACCUACCUAUAAGACUGGGAUAACUUCGGGAAACCGGAGCUAAUACCGGAUAAUAUAUUGAACCGCAUGGUUCAAUAGUGAAAGACGGUUUUGCUGUCACUUAUAGCUGGAUCCGCGCCGCAUUAUCUAGUUGGUAAGGUAACGGCUUACCAAGGCGACGAUGCGUAGCCGACCUGAAAGGGUGAUCGACCACACUGGAACUGAGACACGGUCCAGACUCCUACGGGAGGCAGCAGUAGGGAAUCUUCCGCAAUGGGCGAAAGCCUGACGGAGCAACGCCGCGUGAGUGAUGAAGGUCUUCGGAUCGUAAAACUCUGUUAUUAGGGAAGAACAAAUGUGUAAGUAACUAUGCACGUCUCGACGGUACCUAAUCAGAAAGCCACGGCUAACUACGUG
rnacentral:rRNA from 1 species